rnacentral:rRNA from 1 species
UACGUAGGGGGCAAGCGUUGUCCGGAAUCAUUGGGCGUAAAGAGCGCGUAGGCGGUCCGGUAAGUCCGCUCUGAAAGCCCGGGGCUCAACCCCGGGAGGCGGGCGGAUACUGUCGGGCUAGAGUCCGGAAGAGGCGAGUGGAAUUCCUGGUGUAGCGGUGAAAUGCGCAGAUAUCAGGAGGAACACCGAUGGCGAAGGCAGCUCGCUGGGACGGUACUGACGCUGAGACGCGAAAGCGUGGGGAGCGAACGGG